UGUCCCUGUAUUUUUCCCUCUUUUGUUACUUGAAUCAGUGAUGAGGAAUGUAUUAGCUUUUUAUUGCUGAGUAACAAAUGACCACAACCUAGUGGCUUAAAACACAACCAUUUAUUAUCUCACAAGUCUGUAGGUAAGAAGUCCUAUGAGCUCAACAUGGUUCUCUGCUCACAGUUUCAGAAGGUGCAAACCGAGGCGUCAGCUGGGCUGUGCUCUUACCUAGAGACUCUGGGGAAGAACGUCCUUUCAAGCUCACUCAGGUGGUCUGCAGAGCUCAGUUCCUCACAGUUGUAGGACUGAAGUUCCCGUUUUCUUGUCAGCUAUUGGCCAGGAAUGGACAGGCUCCUAGAGGCUGUUCUCAGGUCCUUGCCCCAUGGCCACCUCCCUGGCAAAGCCAGUAAUGGCAUGUGGAAGGCUUCUCAUGCUACAGAUUUCUCUAAUUCCCCUUCUGCUGCCAGCCAGAGAAAAUUCUGCGUUGAAAGGACUCACAUCAUUAGGUCAGGCCCACCGAGUCUCAAGGUCAACUGAUUUAGGGCUUUCAUUACCUCUGCAAAGUCUCUUCACAGCAGUACUGAGAUCAGUGUGCAGUGAUUAAGUAGGGGCUGGGAAUCUUAUGGGGAAAGGAGACGUUAUAUGGUAAUCAGUCGCAACAGAAAUCCAGAAGAGUUCUUUCUCCUGGUUUUAUCUACUUUCCCUUUAGCUUGAUUUCUGUGGUUCAUUUAGACCACAGUCUAAGGUUACACAUCCAACAUUUUUCACCAACCUCAAAAUCACUCUGAGUUCUACGUCCCCUCCCCAACGUGCGCAGCCACCAAAGGCCUCUGCACACAGCCUCGGUCCCAGCCUGCCCCGCAGUAGCCAACGAGGGCAAAGACAGGGACACUUCCGGCCCUGACGCCUCGCUGUCGCUCCCAUGUGCCCCUGCCGGGAAAUGGCGGCGGCUGUGCCGGUGCUCCCAGUACGCCUCAGGAAUUCCGUGAAGCACCGCUGUGCGGGAGGUGGGGGCCGGCAAUACCACAAUACCACUGGCGGGGACAACUGAGAAGGCAAUGACCAGGAUAUCAAGGAUAACUGGGGCGACAGUGAUGAUGUGAAAAGAAAGAAAGAGAAGUAAAACUAGAAGUAAAGGUUUCAGAAAAGAUAGAUCGAUAAAUAAUCGAUCGAUAGAUAGAUAAUAGAUAGAUGAUAGGCAGGUAGAUAAAUAGAUAAUAUUAUAUACAUGUAUAUGUAUAUGACUCGAGAAAGCCAAAGAGAAAUUACAGCAACUGGAAAAAAAAAACAUUAAAUUAAAAAGAUGUUAGGAGAACAUAAAGUGCUAACACCAAAGAACAAUUAGCAAACUCGACCGGGACUAAACUAAAGAAAUUCCAGGAAGAGUCAGACUUCAAACCAGCCAAAAAGACGUUUGGUGUUAAUACAGUUUAUGGAGCCAAGGCUCUGAACCCACUUUGGAGAGAUGGCUUCCUGGAUUUUGAAAAGUUACUAAAAAAUAAAAUUACACAAUAUGAAAAGUCACUGUAUUAUGCAAGUUUGGGGUAUCCUUAGAUGGAGAUGUGUGCCUUUUUUUAGAAGUUGAUGACUUGAAAAAGAUUACUGAUGCUCUGCAGUGACAAAAAGAAGCAAGAGAAGCAAAAACAGAAAAGUGUGGUUCCUGGAGGGGGAUUAAAGGAUUAAAGGCCACCGUUAAAGACGAGACCUCAUGUAACAUUUUAAUCUUCUCCUGGUGUCUUUUGGUUGCUCAGUCCUAUGGAUUGAAUAUUUGUUUUCCUCCAAAACUCAUACGUUAAAAUCCUAACCACAGUGUGAUGAUAUUAGGAGAUGGGGGCUUUGGGCCUUAACAGGUGAGAUGAGGGUGGAACCCCCAUGAUGGGAUUAGUAUCCUUACAAGAAGAGAAAGAGACUAGAGCUCUCUCCUUCUCCCCACAAAGUAAGGAUACAGAAAGAAAGUGGCCAUCUACAAGCCAGGAAAAAGGAGCUCUCACCAGACACUGAACCUGUCAGCAACUUGAUCUUAGUGUUCCCAGCCUCCAAGACUGUGAGAAAUAAAUGCCUGUUGUUACAGGCAUCCAGUCUAUGAUAUUUUGUUACUGAAACUCUGGUUCACUAAGACACUCACAAUCCCUUUGAACAUGUAGCACAACUUCCUUUCCCUUCAUUUCUGCCAAAUGCUGCAAUUAGAAGUGCAGUAUCUUUGUGCUUGCUAUUUAAUGUCUUGACAAUUAGGAGCUAAUGUAAGAAAGAGGAAAUUGGGUUUUGUUGCCAAGAGGUUAAAAUUUGGAAGUUCAAUUGCUACUAAAUCAUAGCGGUUUUUGUAAAUCCUAAUAAUGCUAUAAUCCUUAGUAUCUUAUUCCAAAAAGGCAGUGUCACUAAAUUGGAAACAAACUACGGCCAAAAUUGUAUUUACCAGCACCAUCCAGUAAUGUAGCCUGAACAAUACCUCCUUGAACUACUUCUUGUCAAGAAAAGCAGUUUGUAAAAAGGACAUGUGGUCUUCACCUACUUUAAAGUUACUUUGUCUAAAAAUUGAGUUGGAGGAUUCAAAACAUAGAUUUUGAAGAAGAGUGCUUAUUUUUGAGUGAAGUUACUGCUGCUGAAAAGCCACCAAUUUGAUACUUAAAUGAUUUAAAAGAAAAAAAAACUUUCAAACUUUGAAGCCCAAGAAAGUAAAUCAUUAUUGUAUUAUAAGCUGUGGAAUGUCUUGAGUGUCUAAUGCCUUAACUGUCUAGUUUAUAUUAAUCAGAAUAUUUCUACUGGUGGACCACUUCAGACAGAGGAGAGAGACUCUAUCUCUUUUAUUUGCCUAAUUUAAGUGUCUGAGAAACAGAAUCUCCUUUGUUCUGCUGGACUGUAAUGGAAGAACUUCAUCUGGGUUUUGGUAUUUUCCUUCCCUUAUAACAUGUGCUCAGCUAACUAUACUAUUAAUAGUUAGCAACAGUUUGCUGAAUUUUUAUGUUAACAGUUAUGAUAUUACAUUUUGUAAGGCAACUAACUGAAUAAAAUCAAUAAAAA
rnacentral:lncRNA from 1 species